rnacentral:rRNA from 1 species
ACUUUCAACAACGGAUCUCUUGGUUCUCGCAUCGAUGAAGAACGCAGCGAAUUGCGAUAAGUAAUGUGAAUUGCAGAAUUCAGUGAAUCAUCGAAUCUUUGAACGCACAUUGCGCCCCCUGGUAUUCCGGGGGGCAUGCCUGUUUGAGCGUCUCAUG